rnacentral:lncRNA from 1 species
AUGAAAGGGCAUGGCAACAGUUUGUGAAGACUAAUGAACAAGAUCUGUUUUGGGAGUGAUCAUAACCUGAUUUAAUAUAGAGUUAUCAGGCUGCAAGUGUUUACAUUGUAGACAGGAAAGGAGCCCUUUGUCUUUCUGUAUUUGUGUGCGAGUAUGUGAACAGCAUGGAACGAUAUAACUGGCACAUUAAAGAGAAGGCUUUAUCUGCAAAAGGUAAACCCUUGGGGAAGAUCUCAUCAAUAUGAUGUAAAAACAAACCAGCUGACGGUUGUUUGUCGUCUUGCAGCACCGCUUCACUGAUCUGCCCACUUGAGUUGUAGCAUUCCAGGACUAAGCUGUCUUUCAUUACAUGAUUACUCAGUUGC